UCCUACGGGAGGCAGCAGUGAGGAAUAUUCCACAAUGGGCGAAAGCCUGAUGGAGCGACGCCGCGUGAGGGAAGAAGCCUUUCGGGGUGUAAACCUCUUUUAUAGGGGAUGACACGGUGGGAGCAAUCCCAUCUAGGACAGUACCCUGUGAAUAAGCCUCGGCUAACUACGUGCCAGCAGCCGCGGUAAUACGUAGGAGGCGAGCGUUGUCCGGAUUUACUGGGCGUAAAGGGCGCGCAGGCGGCAUGGCAAGUAAGGUGUGAAAUCUCCCUGCUCAACGGGGAGGGAGCACUUUAGACUGCCAAGCUAGAGGACGGUAGAGGGGGGUAGAACUGCUGGUGUAGCGGUGAAAUGCGUAGAGAUCAGCAAGAAUACCCGUGGCGAAGGCGGCCCCCUGGGCCGAACCUGACGCUGAGGCGCGAAGGCUAGGGGAGCGAACGGGAUUAGAUACCCCGGUAGUCCUAGCAGUAAACGAUGGCCACUAGGUGUGGGGGGUGUUGACCCCUUCCGUGCCGAAGCUAACGCAUUAAGUGGCCCGCCUGGGGAGUACGGUCGCAAGACUAAAACUCAAAGGAAUUGACGGGGCCCCGCACAAGCAGCGGAGUGUGUGGUUUAAUUCGAUGCAACGCGAAGAACCUUACCUGGGCUUGACAUCUAUUCGCAAGACCGUGAAAGCGGUCCCUCUACGGACGGAUAGACAGAUGUUGCAUGGCUGUCGUCAGCUCGUGUCGUGAGAUGUUGGGUUAAGUCCCGCAACGAGCGCAACCCUUGUCUUUAGUUGAAGAUCUAGAGAGACUGCCGGAAACAAACCGGAGGAAGGUGGGGAUGACGUCAAGUCAGCAUGACUCUUACGUCCAGGGCUACACACACACUACAAUGGCCGUUACAACGAGAAGCCAGCCCGCGAGGGUGAGCAGACCUCUAAAAGGCGGCCCCAGUUCAGAUUGCACUCUGCAACCCGAGUGCAUGAAGGUGGAAUCGCUAGUAAUCGCAGAACAGCAGGCUGCGGUGAAUACGUUCCCGGGCCUUGUACACACCGC
rnacentral:rRNA from 1 species